rnacentral:misc_RNA from 1 species
GUUGAUGCCUGUGAUUCAGGUGCAAUGCCCAUGACUGGAACACUCAUUAAUCCAACCGUCCCAGCAACAUAAUAACAGUAAAGAUAAAGCUCAUCAAAGUUCUUAUAUCUAGACUUCUUCAGAUCCAUCCUCAUUCCUUCAAUCAUAUCUUUGAAUGGCUGAAUAUCAACAGGAAAUUUAGUGACCGUAUCUGAUAAAGCAGCAUCAAGCAUAUCAAAUGGACGACCUUGGAAAAGAUCUUCCAACCUUGCCUCCCACCUAUCUAAAGCUGUUGGCGU